rnacentral:rRNA from 1 species
UAGGGAAUCUUGCGCAAUGGGCGAAAGCCUGACGCAGCGACGCCGCGUGAGCGAUGAAGGCCCUCGGGUUGUAAAGCUCUGUGGGGAGAGAAGAAUAAGGGCGAGCCAAUACCUCGCUCGAUGACGGGACCCCCUUAGCCAGCACCGGCUAACUCUGUGCCAGCAGCCGCGGUAAGACAGAGGGUGCAAACGUUGUUCGGAAUUACUGGGCGUAAAGCGUGUGUAGGCGGCUAUGUAAGUCGGGCGUGAAAUCCCACGGCUCAACCGUGGAAGUGCACCCGAAACUGCGUAGCUAGAGUCCUGGAGAGGAAGGUGGAAUGCUUGGUGUAGAGGUGAAAUUCGUAGAUAUCAAGCGGAACACCGGUGGCGAAGGCGGCCUUCUGGACAGUGACUGACGCUGAGACGCGAAAGCGUGGGGAGCAAA